rnacentral:rRNA from 1 species
UAAAGCUAGCCCAAAUAACCCCGACCCAACUACUAAAAACUCACUUGAACAAAGCAUUUACCCAAAUCCAUUAAAGUAUAGGAGAUAGAAAUUUUUAACUGGCGCUAUAGAGAAAGUACCGCAAGGGAACGAUGAAAGAAGUCUUAAAAGUACUAAACAGCAAAGCUUACCCCUUUUACCUUUUGCAUAAUGAUUUAACUAGAACAAUUUUAGCAAAGAGAACUUAAGUUAAACCCCCCGAAACCAGACGAGCUACCUACGAACAGUCCCAAAACGAACGAACUCAUCUAUGUCGCAAAAUAGUGAGAAGAUUUAUAGGUAGAGGUGAAAAGCCUAACGAGCCUGGUGAUAGCUGGUUGUCCAAAACAGAAUGUAAGUUCAAAUCUAAAUUUACCUAAAAGCCCUACAACUUCAAUGUAAAUUUAAAUUAUAGUCUAAAAAGGUACAGCUCUUUAGACACAGGAUACAACCUUCAUUAGAGAGUAAGAUCUAAGCCACACAUAGUUGGCCUAAAAGCAGCCACCAAUUAAGAAAGCGUUCAAGCUCAACAGCACAGCCACCUUAAUUUCAGCAACAACCAAUCAACUCCUAAUUUAAUAUUGGACUAAUCUAUCAACAAAUAGAAGCAAUAAUGUUAAUAUGAGUAACAAGAACCAUUUCUCCUUGCAUAAGCCUAUAUCAGAACGAAUGACCACUGAUAGUUAACAACAAAAUAAACACAACCUAACAAUAAACUACCUAUUAAACCAACUGUUAACCCAACACAGGCAUGCACUUUAAAGGAAAGAUUAAAAAAAGUAAAAGGAACUCGGCAAA